CUCCUCUUCUGGGGACGCUGGAGAAUUACACUUCUUUGUGAUUUGAGUGCUGCGUUGCGGAUAGUGACUGAUCUGUCAGCGUGCGUCGUGGAGUGAGAAGGAGGCGGACCAGCGCGCUGGCCAACCUGCAACAGGCAGACUGAAGCCAGACAUCUUGGAAAGUGAAGUCAAGUGGGCCUUACGAAGCAUUACUACAAGCAAAAACUAGUGAAGAUGAUGGAAUUCCACCUGAGGUAUUUCAAAUCCUAAAAAAUGAUGCUAUUAAAGUGCUGCAGUCAACAUGCCAGCAAAUCUAGAAAACUCAGCAGUGGCAUCAGGACUGGGAAAGCUCAGUUUUCGUUCCAAUCCCAGUGAAAGGCAAUGCCAAAGAAUGCUCCAACUACUCCACAACUGUGCUCAUUUCAUAUGCUAGCAAUGUAAUGCUCAAAAUCCUUCAAGUUAGC
ensembl:lncRNA